rnacentral:rRNA from 1 species
UACGAAGGGUGCAAACGUUGCUCGGAAUCAUUGGGCGUAAAGCGCACGUAGGCGGCUUCGCAAGUCGGAUGUGAAAUCCCUCGGCUCAACCGAGGACGUGCAUCCGAAACUGCGGAGCUUGAGUACUGAAGAGGAUCGCGGAAUUCCCGGUGUAGAGGUGAAAUUCGUAGAUAUCGGGAGGAACACCAGUGGCGAAGGCGGCGAUCUGGGAAGAUACUGACGCUGAGGAGCGAAAGCGUGGGGAGCGAACAGG